rnacentral:rRNA from 1 species
GUGCCAGCCGCCGCGGUAAUACGUAGGGGGCGAGCGUUGUCCGGAUUUAUUGGGCGUAAAGCGCGCGCAGGCGGUGCGUUAAGUCUGGUGUGAAAGCUCCCGGCUCACCUGGGAGAGGGCACUGGAGACUGGCGGACUGGAGGGCGGCAGAGGCCGGUGGAAUUCCCGGUGUAGUGGUGAAAUGCGUAGAGAUCGGGAGGAACACCAGUGGCGAAGGCGGCCGGCUGGGCCGUGCCUGACGCUGAGGCGCGAAAGCGUGGGGAGCGAACCGGAUUAGAUACCCCCGUAGUCC